UCCACGUUAACCGCGGCAGUCUUGCUAGAGUGCUCAACUUAAUGGUAGCAACUAACAAUAAGGGUUGCGCUCGUUGCGGGACUUAACCCAACAUCUCACGACACGAGCUGACGACAACCAUGCACCACCUGUCUUCCUGCUCCGAAGAGCUUCCCCCAUUACGGGUAAUUCAGGAGAUGUCAAGUCUAGGUAAGGUUCUUCGCGUUGCUUCGAAUUAAACCACAUGCUCCGCUGCUUGUGCGGGCCCCCGUCAAUUCCUUUGAGUUUUAAUCUUGCGACCGUACUUCCCAGGCGGAGUACUUAUUGUGUUAACUGCGGCACAGAAGGAGUCGAUACCUCCUACACCUAGUACUCAUCGUUUACGGCGUGGACUAC
rnacentral:misc_RNA from 1 species